ACUCCUACGGGAGGCAGCAGUGAGGAAUAUUGGUCAAUGGAGGGAACUCUGAACCAGCCAUCCCGCGUGUAGGAAGACGGCCUUAUGGGUUGUAAACUACUUUUAUACAGGAAGAAACGUACCCUCGUGAGGGUGCCUGACGGUACUGUAGGAAUAAGCACCGGCUAACUCCGUGCCAGCAGCCGCGGUAAUACGGAGGGUGCGAGCGUUAUCCGGAAUUAUUGGGUUUAAAGGGUCCGUAGGCGGGCCGGUAAGUCAGGGGUGAAAGUCUGUAGCUCAACUAUAGAACUGCCUUUGAUACUGCCGGUCUUGAGUCACGGUGAAGUUGCCGGAAUAUGUGGUGUAGCGGUGAAAUGCAUAGAUAUCACAUAGAACACCGAUUGCGAAGGCAGGUGACUAACCGUGUACUGACGCUGAUGGACGAAAGCGUGGGGAGCGAACAGGAUUAGAUACCCUGGUAGGAUAGCG
rnacentral:rRNA from 1 species